rnacentral:rRNA from 1 species
AAAUUGAAGAGUUUGAUCAUGGCUCAGAUUGAACGCUGGCGGCAGGCCUAACACAUGCAAGUCGAACGGUAGCACAGAGAGCUUGCUCUCGGGUGACGAGUGGCGGACGGGUGAGUAAUGUCUGGGAAACUGCCCGAUGGAGGGGGAUAACUACUGGAAACGGUAGCUAAUACCGCAUAACGUCGCAAGACCAAAGUGGGGGACCUUCGGGCCUCACACCAUCGGAUGUGCCCAGAUGGGAUUAGCUAGUAGGUGGGGUAACGGCUCACCUAGGCGACGAUCCCUAGCUGGUCUGAGAGGAUGACCAGCCACACUGGAACUGAGACACGGUCCAGACUCCUACGGGAGGCAGCAGUGGGGAAUAUUGCACAAUGGGCGCAAGCCUGAUGCAGCCAUGCCGCGUGUAUGAAGAAGGCCUUCGGGUUGUAAAGUACUUUCA